AUUGAACGCUGGCGGCAUGCCUUGCACAUGCAAGUCGAACGGUAACAGGUCUUCGGAUGCUGACGAGUGGCGAACGGGGGAGUAAUACAUAGGAACGUGCCCGAUCGUGGGGGAUAACGAAGCGAAAGCUUUGCUAAUACCGCAUACGAUCUACGGAUGAAAGCAGGGGACCGCAAGGCCUUGCGCGAACGGAGCGGCCGAUGGCAGAUUAGGUAGUUGGUGGGAUAAAAGCUUACCAAGCCGACGAUCUGUAGCUGGUCUGAGAGGACGACCAGCCACACUGGGACUGAGACACGGCCCAGACUCCUACGGGAGGCAGCAGUGGGGAAUUUUGGACAAUGGGCGAAAGCCUGAUCCAGUCAUGCCGCGUGCAGGAUGAAGGCCUUCGGGUUGUAAACUGCUUUUGUACGGAACGAAAAGACUCUGGUUAAUACCUGGGGUCCAUGACGGUACCGUAAGAAUAAGCACCGGCUAACUACGUG
rnacentral:rRNA from 1 species